AUUUACCUUCCCUGGGGCUCAUGGAGACCCCUCAGGUGGGCUACCUGGUAAUCAUUCCAAUUUUUCAGCACAUUCAGGUUGAGUAGGGAGGCAGGUUCACCUGGCGAGUUGAUUCCAGGGCACAGGGAUCGGGCAAAAAGUCAAUGGGCAGCAGGUGAGGUUGCGGCUGUGCUCUCCUUCCAGUCGACUCUCUCCUCCGAAGAGAACAGAGCUGCCCCUCGUCUUUCAGCCCAGCUCUCCUGUUUUCUCAGCACCUCAGCGGGACAAGAAAGACAGAGCCUGCCAGAACCAAGUCGACCGUCCCUCCUCAGCAGAGACCAGACCUGCCCCUCAUCUCCCAGCCCUGUGUCUGGCGUGUUUUCUCAACACCUCAGUGGAACAAGAAAGGACCAAGCCUGCCAGAACCAAGGUUCAGAAGACUUAAUUUGAAGCUAGAAGAUUGCUAAUGACUUCUGUUUAUAGAGCACUGCGAACUGAGAUCACUAGGUAUGCAUCAAAACUAAUGAAAAUAAAAUGUUUUGUCACAGAACA
ensembl:lncRNA